rnacentral:rRNA from 1 species
UACAGAGGGGGCAAGCGUUAUUCGGAAUUAUUGGGCGUAAAGGGCGCGUAGGCGGCGAUUCAAGUGACGGGUGAAAUCCCUCGGCUUAACCGAGGAACUGCCUGUCAGACUGGGUUGCUUGAGACCGGGAGAGGCGAGUGGAAUUCCCCGGUGUAGCGGUGGAAAUGCGCAGAUAUCGGGAAGAACACCCGUGGCGAAGGCGGCUCUCUGGGACGGUACUGGACGCGUGAGACGCGAAAGCGUGGGGAGCGAACGAGG